rnacentral:rRNA from 1 species
AUUGAACGCUGGCGGCAUGCUUUACACAUGCAAGUCGAACGGUAACAGGCCGCAAGGUGCUGACGAGUGGCGAACGGGUGAGUAAUGCAUCGGAACGUGCCCAGUCGUGGGGGAUAACGCAGCGAAAGCUGCGCUAAUACCGCAUACGAUCUAUGGAUGAAAGCGGGGGACCGUAAGGCCUCGCGCGAUUGGAGCGGCCGAUGUCAGAUUAGGUAGUUGGUGGGGUAAAGGCUCAACAAGCCAACGAUCUGUAGCUGGUCUGAGAGGACGACGAGCCACACUGGGACUGAGACACGGCCCAGACUCCUACGGGAGGCAGCAGUGGGGAAUUUUGGACAAUGGGCGCAAGCCUGAUCCAGCAAUGCCGCGUGCAGGAAGGGGGCCUUCGGGUUGUAAACUGCUUUUGUACGGAACGAAACGGCUCUGGUUAAUACCUGGGGCUAAUGACGGUACCGUAAGAAUAAGCACCGGCUAACUACGUGCCAGCCGCCGCAGUAAGAC